GUAAUGCCGGAUGUUCCAGUUGAUCGCAUGGUCUUCUGGGAAAGCUUUCGCGGUAUGGGAUGGGGUCGCGUCCUAUCAGCUUGACGGCGGGGUAACGGCCCACCGUGGCUUCGACGGGUAGCCGGCCUGAGAGGGCGACCGGCCACAUUGGGACUGAGAUACGGCCCAGACUCCUACGGGAGGCAGCAGUGGGGAAUAUUGCACAAUGGGCGCAAGCCUGAUGCAGCGACGCCGCGUGAGGGAUGGAGGCCUUCGGGUUGUAAACCUCUUUUAUCGGGGAGCAAGCGUGAGUGAGUUUACCCGUUGAAUAAGCACCGGCUAACUACGUGCCAGCAGCCGCGGUAAUACGUAGGGUGCAAGCGUUAUCCGGAAUUAUUGGGCGUAAAGGGCUCGUAGGCGGUUCGUCGCGUCCGGUGUGAAAGUCCAUCGCUUAACGGUGGAUCCGCGCCGGGUACGGGCGGGCUUGAGUGCGGUAGGGGAGACUGGAAUUCCCGGUGUAACGGUGGAAUGUGUAGAUAUCGAAAAAAAACAC
rnacentral:rRNA from 1 species